rnacentral:tRNA from 1 species
UCAGCCUGUUGUUCAGCGGAUCGUGGAACCUGCCAUCAUUCGGCGGCGGGGGCGGGGCGACCCCGGUUCCCGAACCGGGCAUGCUGGG